UACGAAGGGUGCAAGCGUUACUCGGAAUUACUGGGCGUAAAGCGUGCGUAGGUGGCCUGUUAAGUCUGAUGUGAAAGCCCCGGGCUCAACCUGGGAAUUGCAUUGGAUACUGGCAGGCUAGAGUGCGGUAGAGGGUAGUGGAAUUCCCGGUGUAGCAGUGAAAUGCGUAGAGAUGUGGAGGAACACCGAUGGCGAAGGCAGCCCCCUGGGCUAACACUGACGCUCAGGCACGAAAGCGUGGGGAGCAAACAGG
rnacentral:rRNA from 1 species